rnacentral:ncRNA from 1 species
ACUGGCAGCUAAACUAAUUGGCUGAACCUCUGGUAACAGAGAGUUAAGAACAAGGUGAAUUCGGGGAAGGCUUUAAAAUGCUAAUCCCGAGCGAAGCUUAAGUAGGAAUACUUAGGAACGUGUAGAGACUAGGACGAGAGACCAGAACGGUUAAUAAUGUCCAUAGGAGAGUCAAGUGACCUCCGAAGCGCCUUGCUCCUACUUUAGUAGGAUGAAGAUAUAGUCCGAUACUCUUAGGAAACUAGGAG